GACGAACGCUGGCGGCGUGCUUAACACAUGCAAGUCGAACGGUUCGUCCCCUUUGGGGGUUCUCGAGUGGCGGACGGGUGAGUAACACGUCAGUAACCUGCCCUUUACUUCGGGAUCCCUUCAGGAAACUGGGGCUAAUACCGGCUAGGAAUCCUUGCUCCAUGCUGGUUGUUCGGCAUCUUCGGCGGGUUUGGAGCGCCUCGGGGCUUAUCUGCUUGUUGGUGGGGUAGUGGCUUACCAAGGCGUUGACGUGUAGGCGGCCUGAGGGGGCGACCGGCCACAUUGGGACCGAGAGACGGCACAGACACCGACGGGACGCAGCAGUGGGGAAGACUGACCAAGGGGCGGAAGCCGGAUGCAGAAAGGCCGCGGGCGGGAUGACGGCCUUGGGGUUGAAAAACGAGUUCAGCAGGGGCGAAGCUUGUGGUGACGGUACCUGCAGAAGAAGCAACGGCUAACUACGUG
rnacentral:rRNA from 1 species